rnacentral:sRNA from 1 species
GACCUAACCCUUGAAUUUCAAAGUUUAAGGUAUGGUUAAAAGUCAGAUCGUGAAUAAAAAACCCAUCAUGGGGUUGCACGAUCUGCCGUACAGGGAAACCUGUGCGAGAGACUUCGGUCUCU